rnacentral:rRNA from 1 species
GACGAACGCUGGCGGCGUGCCUAAUACAUGCAAGUAGAACGCACAGUUUAUACCGUAGCUUGCUACACCAUAAACUGUGAGUUGCGAACGGGUGAGUAACGCGUAGGUAACCUGCCUGGUAGCGGGGGAUAACUAUUGGAAACGAUAGCUAAUACCGCAUAAUAUUGAUUAUUGCAUGAUAAUUGAUUGAAAGAUGCUAUUGCAUCACUACCAGAUGGACCUGCGUUGUAUUAGCUAGUAGGUGGGGUAACGGCUCACCUAGGCGACGAUACAUAGCCGACCUGGGAGGGUGAUCGGCCACACUGGGACUGGGACACGGCCCAGACUCCUACGGGAGGCAGCAGUAGGGAAUCUUCGGCAAUGGACGAAAGUCUGACCGAGCAACGCCGCGUGAGUGAAGAAGGUUUUCGGAUCGGAAAGCUCUGUUGUAAGAGAAGAACGGGUGUGAGAGUGGAAAGUUCACACUGUGACGGUAUCUUACCAGAAAGGGACGGCUAACUACGUG